CGGACACUCUCCGUCAGUCUAGCCGGGAAAGAGCACGGAAGAGACGGCGCACCUUUACCGGACCUCGCGCUGUGUGGAAGUCACGCUGAACUAUUAAUCUGGGACAGCAGGGAUGACGGCUCUGCACCCUUCAUCCUGAAGAACAGCUGUCCUCCAGUGAAGGAUGAAGAGCAGGAGCUGGGGAGGCCCAUGUUGACCAUCUUUCCUUCAAAGCAUCAAGUGCAGAGCUAUGCCACGUUGUCCGUCUCUGCCCCUGCUGUCCUCACCAACUGGACCUUUGUAGACAGGAAGGAGACAAGCGAUGGAGCAGCUUUCCACUUCCUGCUUUAUAAACACAGUGAGCAGAAGGACAUGCUGAAGGAGACAGGACUUACAAUACUCUGUAGUCAACAUGGAAUGUCCCUGUUGUGUUUAAUAAAUACAUCUAAUUCA